rnacentral:rRNA from 1 species
UACAGAGGGUGCGAGCGUUAAUCGGAAUUACUGGGCGUAAAGCGCGCGUAGGCGGCUUUGCAAGUCGGGUGUGAAAUCCCCAGGCUUAACCUGGGAACUGCAUUCGAGACUGCAUUGCUAGAGUAUGGGAGAGGGAAGUGGAAUUUCAGGUGUAGCGGUGAAAUGCGUAGAUAUCUACUGGAACGCCGAUGGUGAAGACGCUCGGCUGGGCCUUUCCUGACGCUGAGGCACGAAAGCGUGGGGAGCAAACAGG